rnacentral:rRNA from 1 species
AAUAGAUACCCGGGUAGUCCACGCCCUAAACGAUGUCUACUAGUUGUCGGGUCUUAAUUGACUUGGUAACGCAGCUAACGCGUGAAGUAGACCGCCUGGGGAGUACGGUCGCAAGAUUAAAACUCAAAGGAAUUGACGGGGACCCGCACAAGCGGUGGAUGAUGUGGAUUAAUUCGAUGCAACGCGAAAAACCUUACCUACCCUUGACAUGUCAGGAACCUCCGAGAGAUUGGAGGGUGCCCGAAAGGGAGCCUGAACACAGGUGCUGCAUGGCUGUCGUCAGCUCGUGUCGUGAGAUGUUGGGUUAAGUCCCGCAACGAGCGCAACCCUUGUCAUUAGUUGCUACGCAAGAGCACUCUAAUGAGACUGCCGGUGACAAACCGGAGGAAGGUGGGGAUGACGUCAAGUCCUCAUGGCCCUUAUGGGUAGGGCUUCACACGUCAUACAAUGGUACAUACAGAGGGCCGCCAACCCGCGAGGGGAGCUAAUCCCAGAAAGUGUAUCGUAGUCCGGAUCGCAGUCUGCAACUCGA